rnacentral:rRNA from 1 species
UAAUCUUAGUGGCGGACGGGUGAGUAACGCGUGGGUAACCUGCCUUACACUGGGGGGAUAACACUUAGAAAUAGGUGCUAAUACCGCAUAAGCGCACGAAGCCGCAUGGAUUUGUGUGAAAAACUCCGGUGGUGUAAGAUGGACCCGCGUCUGAUUAGCUUGUUGGCGGGGUAACGCCUACCAAGGCGACGAUCAGUAGCCGGCCUGAGAGGGUGGACGGCCACAUUGGGACUGAGACACGGCCCAAACUCCUACGGAAGGCAGCAG